CCUACGGGUAGGCAGCAGUGGGGAAUUUUGGACAAUGGGCGAAAGCCUGAUCCAGCCAUGCCGCGUGAGUGAAGAAGGCCUUCGGGUUGUAAAGCUCUUUUAGUCGGAAAGAAAGAGUUGCAAUGAAUAAUUGUGAUUUAUGACGGUACCGACAGAAAAAGCACCGGCUAACUACGUGCCAGCAGCCGCGGUAAUACGUAGGGUGCGAGCGUUAAUCGGAAUUACUGGGCGUAAAGGGUGCGCAGGCGGUCUUGCAAGUCAAGAUGUGAAAGCCCCGGGCUUGACCUGGGAAUUGCGUUUGAAACUACAAGGCUAGAGUGCAGCAGAGGGGAGUGGAAUUCCAUGUGUAACAGUGAAAUGCGUAGAGAUGUGGAAGAACACCGAUGGCGAAGGCAGCUCCCUGGGUUGACACUUGACGCUCAUGCACGAAAGCGUGGGGAGCAAACAGGAUUAGAUACCCUGGUAGUCCACGCCCUAAACGAUGUCAACUAGUUGUCGGAUCUAAUUAAGGAUUUGGUAACGUAGCUAACGCGUGAAGUUGACCGCCUGGGGAGUACGGUCGCAAGGUUAAAACUCAAAGGAA
rnacentral:rRNA from 1 species